UACGGAGGGUGCGAGCGUUGUCCGGAAUCACUGGGCGUAAAGGGCGCGUAGGCGGCCGAGCAAGGUCGCGGUGAAAGCCCGGGGCUCAACCCCGGGUCGGCCGUGGCAACUACUCGGCUCGAGCACUGUAGGGCGGGUGGAAUUCCGGGUGUAGCGGUGGAAUGCGUAGAGAUGUGGAGGAACACCGAUGGCGAAGGCAGCCUUCUGGGGCCCAACCACUGAAC
rnacentral:rRNA from 1 species